GAGGAAAAUCGGUAGGUGAGGUUACCACAGGGAUUUGGGAGACCUAAGAUUGCUGCCGCAGAUUUGUGGAGACACAAUGCGCUGGUUAGCAGGCUAUGUCGUGGAAGGCAUAACCUAAUGCAAUUUAUAUGCCCUGUGAUACUAAAGCUUGUACGUGGCACUCAGAA
rnacentral:sRNA from 1 species